AUUGGUCAGGCUUGGUCAGGAUUAGGAUUGAUCAUUGGUCAGGCAUGGUCAGGGUUAGGAUUGAUCAAUGGUCAAGAUUAGGAUUGAUCAUUGGUCAAGAUUAGGAUUGAUCAUUGGUCAGGAUUAGGAAAUGUUUACAAGAUAAUAUCCAACUGUUCGGAUCGCCAGGUGAGCACAGUUGGAUCAAUAAUCAGGAUGUAGACUCUACAUCAGCAGUUGUCACAAAGUGCUUUUACAGAUACCCAGCCUGAAACUCCAAAGAGCAAGCAACAACUGGGUAGGCUAGGAACAAUCAUGUGGGAGCAGUGGCAGCUGGAAUCAUCAGGCAGCAACUUGAUCUGCAACACAACCAGGAGGACUAUGGACAGGGACAGCUACGUGGUCCUGGUAGUCCCAAAGUGUGAUCCUGGUAGUCCUGAGGUGUGGUCCUGGUAGUCUUGAGGUGUGGUCCUGGUAGUCCUGAGGUGUGAUCCUGGUAGUCCUGAGGUGCGGUCCUAGUAGUCCUGAGGUGUGAUCCUGGUAGUCCUAAAGUGCGGUCUUGGUAGUCCUGAGGUGUGGUCCUGGUAGUCUUGAGGUGUGGUCCUGGUAGUCUUGAGGGGUGGUCCUGGUAGUCCUGAGGUGUGGUCCUGGUAGUCCUGAGGUGUGGUCCUGGUAGUCCUGAGGUGUGGUCCUGGUAGUCCUGAGGUGCGGUCCUAGUAGUCCUGAGGUGUGGUCCUGGUAGUCGUGAGGUAUGCUCCUGGUAGUCCUGAGGCGUGGUCAAAGAGCUCAUGUUCAAGAGCUUCAAGUUGAAACUGAACAGGACACAAGGAAAGUUUAGAGAGUGCAUUCGCUGGAUUUACAAAGGAGAACUGACCCUACUCUUCCGGCACAAUAAUAUAACAGCGUAAAACCUCGGGGCUGAGACAGGGGUGUCCAGUGACACUGUGGCCCUAUCCGAAGGAAAUCCCAGACAGGGCCCACCAGGAAUGAUGCCACAAAGGCACUUCCAAGAACAUAGAGCUCAAACAAGAGGAAGCCACAGAGAAGCCAACAAAUACUUUGAAAGAGCAGCAGAGUUCAGUGACUCUGAGUGCAGUAACGGUGCCCUAGUCAACCAUAUCAAAAACCUGCAUGAAAUAAU
ensembl:lncRNA